AGUGAACGCUGGCGGUAGGCCUAACACAUGCAAGUCGAACGGCAGCACAGUAAGAGCUUGCUCUUACGGGUGGCGAGUGGCGGACGGGUGAGGAAUACAUCGGAAUCUACUUUUUCGUGGGGGAUAACGUAGGGAAACUUACGCUAAUACCGCAUACGACCUACGGGUGAAAGCAGGGGAUCUUCGGACCUUGCGCGAUUGAAUGAGCCGAUGUCGGAUUAGCUAGUUGGCGGGGUAAAGGCCCACCAAGGCGACGAUCCGUAGCUGGUCUGAGAGGAUGUUCAGCCACACUGGAGCUGAGACGCGGUCCUGACUCCUACGGGAGGCAGCAGUGGGGACUAUUGGACAAUGGGCGCAAGCCUGAUCCAGCCAUACCGCGUGGGUGAAGAAGGCCUUCGGGUUGUAAGGCCCUUUUGUUGGGAAAGAAAAGCAGCAGGUUAAAACCCCGCUGUUCUGACGGUACCCAAAGAAUAAGCACCGGCUAACUUCGUG
rnacentral:rRNA from 1 species